rnacentral:rRNA from 1 species
GUGAACGCUGGCGGUAGGCCUAACACAUGCAAGUCGAACGGCAGCACAGUAAGAGCUUGCUCUUACGGGUGGCGAGUGGCGGACGGGUGAGGAAUACAUCGGAAUCUACUUUUUCGUGGGGGAUAACGUAGGGAAACUUACGCUAAUACCGCAUACGACCUACGGGUGAAAGCAGGGGAUCUUCGGACCUUGCGCGAUUGAAUGAGCCGAUGUCGGAUUAGCUAGUUGGCGGGGUAAAGGCCCACCAAGGCAACGAUCCGUAGCUGGUCUGAGAGGAUGAUCAGCCACACUGGAACUGAGACACGGUCCAGACUCCUACGGGAGGCAGCAGUGGGGAAUAUUGGACAAUGGGCGCAAGCCUGAUCCAGCCAUACCGCGUGGGUGAAGAAGGCCUUCGGGUUGUAAAGCCCUUUUGUUGGGAAAGAAAAGCAGCAGGUUAAUACCCCGCUGUUCUGACGGUACCCAAAGAAUAAGCACCGGCUAACUUCGUG